CCCAAAGAUCAUCAUUAUAAAACAACAGCAGCUCGCAUCAUCAUCAUCAUCAACAGCAGCUCGCAUUUUCCCAAUAAAUUCAUCAUCAACAACAGCCGAUCAGGUUCAUCUUCAUCAUCUUCGAUCAGGUUCUUCAUCGAUCAGGUUCAUCUUCAUCAUCGAUCAGCGUUGAUGUUGGAAUGGCUGCGGAUGUAAAGAUACUCAAAACACCAACUACGAAGGCGAGAUAUGUAAUCAUCGAGCUCUGGAUGGCGCGGUGCACACAAGGAAGUCAUUGAUAUGAAUGAAUAUAACUCCAGUGGCAGAUAUGUAAUCAGCGAGCUCUGGAAUUUCAUAUCGGCCACUCGGGUUAUAUUCAUUCAUAUCAAUGAAUGAAUGAACACAACCCCAGUGGCAGAUACGUAAUUAGUGAGCUCUGGAAUUUUAUAUCUACCGUUGGGUAACACUCAUUCAUAUCGGCUUCAUUCCGAAGUGCACCCGUCAGCAAAGAUCCACAAUUGCUUGUGGAUCUUUGACGUUUUGUCUCUAUUUGUAUGUUUCGAUCUUUUGUUAUCGAGUCUGUACGUUACGGUCUUUUGUCAUCGAGUCUGUACGUUACGGUCUUUUGUUAUCGAGUCUGUACGUUACGGUCUUUUGUUAUCGAAUGAAUAUAACCUAAUUGCUUGU
rnacentral:lncRNA from 1 species